rnacentral:rRNA from 1 species
GACGAACGCUGGCGGCGUGCUUAACACAUGCAAGUCGAACGGGAAGGCCCUGCUUGCAGGGUACUCGAGUGGCGAACGGGUGAGUAACACGUGGGUGAUCUGCCCUGCACUUCGGGAUAAGCCUGGGAAACUGGGUCUAAUACCGGAUAGGAGCCAUUUUUAGUGUGAUGGUUGGAAAGUUUUUUCGGUGUAGGAUGAGCUCGCGGCCUAUCAGCUUGUUGGUGGGGUAAUGGCCUACCAAGGCGGCGACGGGUAGCCGGCCUGAGAGGGUGGACGGCCACAUUGGGACUGAGAUACGGCCCAGACUCCUACGGGAGGCAGCAGUGGGGAAUAUUGCACAAUGGGCGCAAGCCUGAUGCAGCGACGCCGCGUGGGGGAUGACGGCCUUCGGGUUGUAAACUCCUUUCGCUAGGGACGAAGCUUUUUGUGACGGUACCUAGAUAAGAAGCACCGGCUAACUACGUG